CCAUACGCUUUCCUUUCCUGAAACCUGAACUAUCAUACGCUUCUUCUUCUUCUUCUUCUACCUGCAUCUCAUUCUCUCUGAAUCGCUUGUGCUUGAACGGAUUAACAAAGGAUUCCAAAAUCAAGGUUAUUCACUUCCAGAUUCAUCCAGAUAAGACCCAGUGCCUGUGCGCUUUUCAACCUCAGAACCUGGCAAACAUGCAGCCAAGCUAGAGAAAAGAACAAUUUAGUUAACCAUAGAAAGUUAUGAGAGGGGUGACCCAAUUGAAUUCGAGCUUGGUACUGGCUAGGUGAUAAAUGUAUGUAGUGAUUUUGACUAAUCUAACCCUGGUGGAUUCAACACUUUGACACCUUUAAGAAGGUCGCCAAGCAACAAAGAAGGGGCAAGAAUAUGUUAGAGAUAUGUGGUAACAUUGUAAGUUUCUUUCGCAUGGGAUUAUCUGGAAUUUAUUUUUUUAUAUUGGUAAAACGAAAAUCAUCGAUGUCAUGUGUCUACAUUUGCGAGGCGAUGGUGGUUAGGGUUCUCGUGGUGAUUCCGGUAAGAAGGAUCUUCCGGUAUGAUUUUUGAAUGAGCAAUUACGAGACGAUUCUCCAAUAUAGAGACCGCUAGCGGCGGAAUUUGUGAGCGUUUCGCGUGAAAGCAAGAUUUCUUUCAUCCAGAUUGAGUUUGGAUGAGUUUUAUUUGGCUAGCAUUUUGUCGAACACCUUCCAUAGAAUUGGUGGGAUUUUAUGAGGUUUGAGACACCAAACAACAGACAACACGAUUGUAUGUUCGUCUACGGCUCUAUGGAUUAUAGCGAGGUUUAAGAUCCCUUGAUGGUAGUACA